CUAUCUAUUUAGUUCUUCAAUCUGUUUUUCUCUCUUACAUGAUCAAUGUCUUCUAUGAAGCCAGGAAAUGAAUUUGUGGCAACUUCAUUAUUACUCAGGGGGAAAAGACAUUGUUCUGAAAAGCAGAUUUUUUCAGCACACACAUUCACAUUUUGCUCUUAGGGGAGAAACGUGUGUGUAAAAGUUUAGAAACUGUUCCAAAUGAGAGUGAUGCUCACUGCCAAUUAAACGAAUGCACCAUGGAUUACUGGACUACGGAGCUGGAUUCUAAACAGAAAGGUUUCCCAGAACAAUGUAUCCCUCAGACUACAGAGGAAAAGCAAAAUUUGGUGAUUUUUCAAAAUCAUGGAAGCAGAAGUACUGCCCAGCCUUGCCCAAGAUGUAUUGCUGGAGAAUCUGGGCACUUCAGCCAUAUUCUGGACUUCUAGAAGAUAAAAGAUUGCAAAUCAACAAUAGUAACUUUUUUAACUUGUAGGAAAAAGGAAGUGUAAAUGCUGUACAGCUGGAUUUCUGUACACACCCAUUCAAUUAAGAGCAUGGGCUUAGAUUUGUUAUACAGGAAGAUUUUUUUAUAUAUAUUUUUGGUGUACAAUACCUUAUUCCUUGAUUUUUACAUUGGAAAAAUGUUUUUAAUUCGAGAUUGCUUCCAUCUUGAUCUUUUUCCCCGGUGCCUCUCACUCAGUCAAGGUUUUCCUCCUAAUCUUUAUCGUGUUAGUAAUGAGUAAAGAAACAUGUGAAAAUAGGACUGAUUCAGGUUUUUUAAAAAAAAUUACUGCUAGCCAAGCUUUUUGUCCAACCCUGUAAACCCUAACUUCUGUAAAGAGUCUUGCUGGAGCAUUUUCUAUCCUGUUUGGAUAGUUUUAUAGGUACUAGUAGGGAGCAUUUCUUGCACAUAGAUGAGGAAUUUCAUUUGUAGCUCAGCCUCAUGGAAGGGCACCUAAAGGGAGGGCUCUUUGCGCACAGAUUCUGUUCCUGUGCUUGCAUUUGUUUGCAUCCAGGUACUCUGUUUUUAAAACUUUCCAUGUUGAUGGACAAUACAGUUUUACAUACACAGAUGUCCUGGUGAAAAAGAAAUGUUAAAAAAAAAGUUAGCAGUGUUAUUUUCACAAUAUUCCAUAGUUAAAAGUGGAAUGCCAUUACUUGCUCCAGGCAGUGGCCUACUCCGAACUGUCAAGGAUACAACCAGCCUGCCACUCCUUGAACCCAACGUGUGAGGACUGAUUUGCUUUCCUGUUGUUGUAGUCUGGCAUGGGACAGCAUUAGAAUUUGUGUUUUUUACAAUGCCAUAAAGCAUCGUAGCUUGAACAUGUUAGUAAGGUGCACAAUAAAUAUAAUUGUUUAAUAAUAAUUAAUGUUUAAUAAUAAAUUAUUAUUACUGCCACAGAUUGAGAUUUUAAUAAUCUUCUAAAAUGAAUCCAUAACCAAAAUUCAGCUAUCUACUGUUGUGCCAUUAGAGUGUGAGGGCAACAUGCAGCUUCAGUUGAAGGAUGGGGAAUCAAAAGAUAGACCAUUUCUUGGAAGAUCAGGAGCUGGGCUAAUACGUCAGAGGCAGGUAGACAUGACCAUACUCCUUCUAUAAUGCAUGCUCUCGUAGGUACACAGGGAGCACAAACUGUUUUAAUUUGGAGGCUCUGGUUGUGCCCAGAGGCUGCUCAAGGGAGUGCUUCCUUUAAGCAUCCAGGCACAAUUUAGCCCCAAACAAACAACAAAGAUUCUGGAUCAGAGCCUUAGCUACAUUCGCUGAAGGACCCAAAUAGUUCAUAGGACAUUGUGGGCAUUACAGCUUUCCACCUCCCUACUAAUGGGAACAGUCAGGAGCCAGUUCAAUUCCCCGAGCAAUUUAAAACAGCAGCCCUAAAGCCACACUAGGCCGGCAACAGGCCUCUAAGGGCUGAUAUGCAGCCAAGCAUUAUGAGAGCACAGAAUGCUCAGCUGAUGCCCCUCACUGCUGCUCCCUGAAUUGUAGUGGGGAGAGUUGUGGCUGGCAAAGGGUUGGCUGUUUCUAAGAAAAAACAUUUUCUUAAAUAAAUUGAUAGCAUACAAAUAUCAAAAAGAUAGAAGGCAAAUCUAUAAAGCAGAGCUACACUUUAGUGGCAUGAUUGCCUGUCAUUUGGUAGGACAUUUCCUCCACGUCAGUGCAAGUUUUAGUGAUGUUAAAAAAAGAAAUCCUUUCAGUGCGUGGAUUUUUUUUCAAACAUUUUAAAAAGAUCUUCAUUCAUAAAAACAGUACAUCUGUUAAAAGCUGGAAUCUUUCAAAGCCACAGCAACCUCAAAGGGUGUAUGGCUACUGCUAGCAUGAUUUCUCUUGACAUAGCAUUUUUUCCCUGGAAGUGGAUGCAAGCUUUAGACCUAGCUGCAAGGGGGUAUUUUCAUAUUAAAAGGAUAAGAAUGAGUGCACAAGUUAUCAUCUACUGACAUUGAUGCUUUUAAAUACAUUUUUUUUUAAAUGGGGAAAAAAAAGUUGCCCCUAAUUUAUGAAGUAAUUCAUUCUGGUAGUGGUGGUAGUGAUUCAUUCUUAUAAAAUUUCCCAAGUUUUAGUUUUAAAAAUAUAGAUAAUAUUACAAGCAAAAUAAAGCAUGACUGGGCACAAGUUUCUCUGAAGUAAUACUUCAAGUAGAUGGCUAAAAGUACAAAGCCAAUAGUAUCUGAAAAUGUAGUUAUUAUACAGCAACUUGAAUCCUCUUAUGUUUUAUUAAAUAAAAUGCAAGACAAUUAAUAACGAGUCUAACAGUCUAUAACCAAAGAAAAGAUAUGGCAAAAGGCACAUAAAACUAAAACAGAGUAUAGAACAAAAGCAGUCUUGGUUCUGCUACAGGAAAAGAUUGUGAGAAUGUGUUAAAGCAGUUCAGCACCACCUAUUUUUAAAACACUUGGGAACAUGUCUGUCUGUAUUGCUAAAUUAGAAAUGUGUUUAUAUGUUAACGGGAGAAAUCUGAAUUUUUUCAAAAUAGCUUAUUGUCAGUUACCUCUUACACUCUAUUUGGAUACUGUAUGCGAUUUCUUCCUUUGCUUUAAUAUUGUUAUUUAGAAGAAAAUCUCCGUUCAUCUAGCUAAGUGACUGACAGUUACUAACUAAUCUAAUCCACUUCGAGAAUAAACUAUGUUAAGUGGA